rnacentral:rRNA from 1 species
UAGGGAAAACAGGGCAGCAGCCAUGAAGGUUGGAAUGCACGAAGGAGUGUGCAAUAACUCAACUGCCAAAGCAAGCAGCUGCGAAAAUGCAUGACACCCAAGCCAGCGUGCACCGCCCUCGCCUCACCAUGGUGUGA